rnacentral:rRNA from 1 species
GAUCAACUCCUCGUCGGUACGAUCAGCGUCGGCAAUAUCAUUUUUUGGUAAAUCUCUGGCUGCUCAUUCAUUUGGGCAGUUAUAAAAGGCGCCUGGGGGUCAAACCUUGGGUGUCGGGGUUACCAAUCUUUUACUGUGAAGAAACUUGAGUGUUCAAAGCAAGCAUUCUAUGCCUGAAAAUUCAGCAUGGGAUAAUGAAAUAGGCUUACGCGUCUAUUUUUGCCGGUUUUCGGACUUUUUUGCGUGAGAAUGGUCGAUAGGGGCGGUCGGGGACACUCGUACCCAGCGGUCAGAGGUGAAAUUCUUGGAUUCGCGGGAGACGAACUUAUGCGAAAGCGUUUGUCAAGGACGCUUUUACUUUGAUCAAGAACGAAGUUAGGGGAUCGAAGACGAUCAGAUACCGUCGUAGUCUUACCUUAAACGAUGCCGACUGUAG